rnacentral:rRNA from 1 species
GACGGAGGGGGCGAGCGUUGUCCGGAAUUACUGGGCGUAAAGGGCGUGUAGGCGGGUUAGUAAGUCAGAUGUGAAAGUCCGGGGCUCAACCCCGGCGUUGCAUCUGAGACUGUUAGGCUCGAGGUCGAGAGAGGAAAGCGGAAUUCCUAGUGUAGAGGUGAAAUUCGUAGAUAUUAGGUGGAACACCAGUGGCGAAGGCGGCUUUCUGGUUAGUAUCUGACGCUGAGGCGCGAAAGCGUGGGGAGCAAACAGG